ACAUCGAAAGCCACUGUUUUCUUGGAGAGAAAAAAGAGCGGGACUUGAAAAUUUUGGUUUUUUUGGCCCGCCAAAAGGGACAAUUCAAAUUCCAUGUUGCUUAAUAGAUUCCCAAAUGUUCAUACUUACAUGGUGUUCGAUCCACUUUUCAAAUCCGUCGAUGUUUGGAAGGGUUUUGGUGCCUUUUGAUUUCAUUCGCGUUGUGACUUGUGUGUGAGAUAUUUAUGCGACUUGUUUUUAGGGUUUAAUCAAUGGCAGGAUUUUUGAACGCGUCUGUGGAGGAAUCAUCGUUCGCUCUCGAGAAGGAUCGCGAAUGUCGGCGUCGUCGUCAAAUCGACGGCGAUCGGAGGCUUAAGCAGUUGUUCGACGAGUUUCUCGAAAGAUUUUUGAAUCAAAUCCCUACCAUUUCUCAUUACAGGCCGCUCCCCCCGGUGGUCGACCAGGGUAAGGAAAUCGAUUUGUUCAAGCUCCAUUGUGUUGUGAGAAGCAGGGGCGGGUAUUGCAUCGUGUCGGAGAAUCGUCUCUGGAGCUCAGUGGCGGCGGACUGCGGUGUCGAUCCAAACGCCGGCGCCGCCUUGAAGUUGGUUUACGUCAAGUAUUUGGAUACACUCGAUAGGUUUUUGAGGAAAAUUGUUGAGGAUAGGCGCGGGGAGAAGGGGGGGUUUGGUAAUCUUGUGGAUGACUUAGAAUUAGGUUUGGAGGUUGUGCUGUGUGGUGAUGAGGAAAUGGGCAAUGCCAAGGAUGAGGAUGGUAAAUUGGGACAUACGGAAGAUGUCGAAGGUUCGGGAAAAGAUGAUGGUGGUCCGUGCAGGAAGAGGAAGCGUGAGUGUUGCUUGGGGGUGCUGAAGUGGCUGCACAAUGUUGCCAAGGAUCCUUGCAGUCGGGAUGUCGGUACAAUGCCGGAGAUGCAAAAGUGGAAGAGCUAUGGGAGUGAGGUGCAAUGGAAGCAGAUUUUGAUGGCUCGGGAGGCUGUUCUUGUGAAAAAGAUCGAUCAAUCGGUUUGGCAGAGGCAAAAGAUGCAUCCGAGCAUGUAUGAUGAUGAUCGAUGUGGUUCAGGGAGGUUGAGAUGCAGCCGGAGGCUUAAAGAUUCUUCUCGUAAGCCAGAGGCGCAACAUACUCCCGAGUCAACAUCGUCACAUCAGAGCAAUGAGGAUACUUGCGAAAAACAGAGUGACCAGCCCCCAAAUCCUCCAAAUUUUUGGGAAAAGCCUUCUCGUGGAAAGCGAAUACUUACAGGCCAACAGUUUCAAGUCGAGCUUCCGGAGUUCUCUGGAGCCGACGAGUACCAAAGUGAUUCCAAAUGGCUGGGUACCAAAACAUGGCCGUUGGAGAAGGGAGAAUACCGACCUUUAUUAAUUGAAAGGGAUCCCAUGGGAAAGGGUCGGCAGGAAGUGUGCGGCUGUUCCAUCCCAAGCUCUCCCGAGUGUAUCCGGUUCCACAUCCAAGAAAAAAGGACUAAACUAAAGCUCGAGCUCGGCCCUGCAUUCAACAACUGGAAAUUCGACAACAUGGGGGAGUCCGUGGCUCUGACCUGGACAGAGCCCGACAUGAACAAGUUUAAGAAUGUCGUGGAGUCGAACCAAGUGACGGAUGAAAAAUACUUCUGGAAAGAACUUUUCAAAUCCUUCCCGAAAAAAGGGCGGGAAGCUCUGGUCAGCUACUACUUCAACGUUUACCUCCUCCGGCGACGCGGCAAACAGAACCGGGUCGUCGAUAAGGGGGGCGAUAUCUACAGCGAUGAUGAUGGAUCGGAGUACGGUCCCAUUAGUAAAAAGUUCGGUCCGACGUCCAUUUUUCAUUCUCCCAAGAAGCCGCCGAGGUGCUCUGCUGCCAACAUGUAAAUUCCUGCACCAUUUUGCAGGCCUCGUAUUCAAACUCCUCCAAGAUUAUUAUUCUUGGUCGAUGUCGCCAUUAAAUGGGAAGAAGGAUGAAAUGUUCGAUUGAUUUUGGGUAGGCGACCGCCGCGGAAGUAGCAACCGUAUUGAUGGAAGGCCAACAAUGGCGGAAGAGCAAGGGGAAACGCGGUUUUGGCGGUUGACGGAGGGGAUGCGACAUGGGCACGGGUAGAAAAACAAAAGUGCGAUGACAUUUUUUGA